AAAACUUUCAACAACGGAUCUCUUGGUUCUGGCAUCGAUGAAGAACGCAGCGAAAUGCGACAAGUAAUGUGAAUUGCAGAAUUCAGUGAAUCAUCGAAUCUUUGAACGCACAUUGCGCCCGCCAGUAUUCUGGCGGGCAUGCCUGUCCGAGCGUCAUUUCAA
rnacentral:rRNA from 1 species